rfam:Gossypium raimondii Chr04_contig_281, whole genome shotgun sequence.
AAUAGGAGAAUGACAAAUCAGAUUUUUUCUCUUAAUUUUCUUUUCCUCCUGAAAAAUUUUAAAUCCAACUAAAAAUAUUGAAAAUCAAGAGGAAAAAUCUGAUUUGUCAUUCUCCUAUU